UCCGGCUUGUCACCGGCAGUUUCUUUAGAGUCCCCAGCAUAACCUGAUGGUAACUAAAGAUGAGGGUUGCGCUCGUUGCGGGACUUAACCCAACAUCUCACGACACGAGCUGACGACAGCCAUGCAGCACCUGUCUCUGAUCCAACUAAAUGAAGGUUUCAUUACAAAACCGGCGAUCAGGAUGUCAAGAGCUGGUAAGGUUUUUCGCGUAGCCUCGAAUUAAACCACAUGCUCCACCGCUUGUGCGGGUCCCCGUCAAUUCCUUUGAGUUUUAAUCUUGCGACCGUACUCCCCAGGCGGGGUGCUUAACGCGUUAGCUGCGACACCGAGACUAAUGUCCCGACGUCUAGCACCCAUCGUUUAGGGCGUGGACUAC
rnacentral:misc_RNA from 1 species